rnacentral:rRNA from 1 species
UGGGGAAUAUUGGACAAUGGGCGCAAGCCUGAUCCAGCCAUGCCGCGUGAGUGAUGAAGGCCUUAGGGUUGUAAAGCUCUUUCAGUAGGGAAGAUAAUGACGGUACCUACAGAAGAAGCCCCGGCUAACUUCGUGCCAGCAGCCGCGGUAAUACGAAGGGGGCUAGCGUUGUUCGGAUUUACUGGGCGUAAAGCGCACGUAGGCGGAUUGGUAAGUUAGAGGUGAAAUCCCGAAGCUCAACUUCGGAACUGCCUUUAAUACUGCCAGUCUAGAGUCCGGAAGAGGUGAGUGGAACUCCUAGUGUAGAGGUGGAAUUCGUAGAUAUUAGGAAGAACACCAGUGGCGAAGGCGGCUCACUGGUCCGGUACUGACGCUGAGGUGCGAAAGCGUGGGGAGCAAACA